GAAGUAUUUUAAACUGAACUUCUAAUUCAUUAUUUAGUGAUUUAAUAAUCAUUAUACUUCU
rnacentral:tRNA from 1 species